rnacentral:lncRNA from 1 species
AUCUAUUGGACCUAGCAUAUGUAAAACAAUAAAAGCAUGUGAGAUCCAGCCAGCCGAUACAAUCAGAUAACUGGUGAACGCUUAAACAAGAUUAAGGAGCCGAUGAAGACAACCUAACCAGAUCUAAGCCGUUCGAUAACUGCGAGCACUUGAUAAAACUAAGAGAUCGAAAUGACGCAACUUAAUAAAACCAAACAACUCAAUACCUAUGAGCAACGUCGAAGACAAGCAGAAUAUUGGACAAAGUCUCGAAAGUUUUACUUGCAAUCUAAUACAACUCGAUAACUAGCCACACAACGGAAUAUCAGAAUAUAAGACUUAACUUAGAAAGUUCUGAUAGGGUGACGGUACUAACAAGCUCGCCUGAGAUUGAAGCUGAUGCAAUUGUGCAUGUAGGAAGGAACUCAUCGAAACUACUUUACUCUUACUCCUACGGUUUUGGCGGGGUGGUGCCGAAAGUUUGGAUUGAUUGAUUGAUGAUUAUUCAUUACAAGGCUCAUGGGUUUAUAUUUAUACCCUGGCGCAAGCUAAAAUCCUCGUCGAUUACAACAUGAACUAUUACAAACUAAUUAAAACUACUAACGAUACUCCUCCACGCUUUCCCUUAUUUGGUGGAGUUGAUUUCACUUAGGAUCGAACCUCCUC